UAAUAAGUGUUUUAUGGCACUUUUUAAAUCCAUAUCCACCUUGUGUGCAAUGUCAGUCGAUCUUCUUCACGGAGAUCGACCAAACAUCAACCUUUAUCUUUUAACUCUUGUCUGAAAAAUAUUAUGAAUAAACAAUUCAAAUA
rnacentral:misc_RNA from 1 species